rnacentral:misc_RNA from 1 species
GAUGAAGAACGUAGCGAAAUGUGAUAAGUAAUGUGAAUUGCAGAAUUCAGUGAAUCAUCGAAUCUUUGAACGCACAUUGCGCCCCCUGGUAUUCCGGGGGGCAUGCCUGUUCGAGCGUCAUUUCACCACUCAAGCCUCGCUUGGUAUUGGGCAACGCGGUCCGCCGCGUGCCUCAAAUCGUCCGGCUGGGUCUUCUGUCCCCUAAGCGAUGUGGAAACUAUUCGCUAAAGGGUGUUCGGGAGGCUACGCCGUAAAACAACCCCAUUUCUAAGGUUGACCUCGGAUCAGGUAGGGGUACCCGCUGAACUUAAGCAUAUCAAUAAGCGGGGGA